AUUGUUGUUGAUAUAUAUUUCCAGGUCAAGAAAGUGGAUUUGGGUAUGACUGUAAUCACUUGUUAAGGUGAUACCUCUCUGAUUAGAGUUGAGAAAUCAUAGAAAUUCUUUGAUAUUCUUCACCCCCCCUCCAAAUAAAAAAAAAGUAAUCAAUGUAUCUGCGAUAGAGAACCAAGUUCGCACUCCAGGCCCCAUCCAUGCCCAAGAAGGAUUGCUCCUAAAAAGACAUGAACAGGUUGGCAUAGCUGGGUGCAAACUUGGUUCCCAUCGCAUUACCCACAAGCUACCCAUGACUGGAAAAUAAUUAUUUUCCCAAAAAUGUCUAACUGCCUCACAACCUAGUGAGUGAGAAAUAAUAGUAUACAGACUGGUGACAUCACAUGUCACCAGAAUGUAUUCACUCGACCAUACAAUAUUCUGGAGUUCCAAAAAAAGCUGAGUGGAAUCUCUCAAAUAAGUGGGUUGCGAUGUAACAAUGGUUGGAGGAGUUUGUCAAUGUACUCGGAGAGACGACUCAAAAGUGAGCCUACUCCCGAGACAAUCGGUCUCCCUAGUGGAAUAGUGGGGUGUUUAUGAAUCUUUGGGAUGGUAUACAGCACUGGAAUUUUUCAGGUUUGGAUAUUCAAAUAUUUGUACUCCUGGGUGUUAAGAAUACCAGCAUUUUUUCCUUGUUCCAAUAAUUCAUAAUAUAGUAUUUUGAUUUGGACUGUAGGGUCACCCGUAAGUUUUUUUAUAGGUGAUACAAUCAUUUAGUUGUCAAUAAAUUUAUUUUUCAUAUUGAUCUCUAUUUUGUAGCACAACUCCCCCCCUACCCCCCUUAUCGGCUGGUUUUAUGAUAAGUUGAGGAUUUUUAGUAAGUUGUUGUAACGCUUUCCUUUGAUUAUAAUUUAAAUUGAAUUGAUUAGGUCUUCCUUUCCUAGUAUAGGUGAUUCUUUUUAACCUCAUCUAUGACUAGAGUCUCAAAGACUUGCAUAGCCCCGCUUUUACACUGUUGUGGAAAAAAGCUAGAUCUUUCUUUGAGUUCUGUAUUUACAGAUUCUGUUUGAACAGCUGGAUUAGUGGGUAAUUGAUUUUUAUACACAAAUUACGAGUAACUUUGUGUAGAUCAAUGAAUGUGUUGAAAGGUUGGUUAAAGCAUGUAGGGGCAAACUUAAGUCCCUUAUUUAGGAUUUGAACGUGUUCCUUUGUGAGAGUAACAUCAGAUAAAUUGAAAAUUCCUAUUGGGGCAACCUCCUUCUUUUUCUUUCUGUUGCAUGGUAUUCCUGCUCUUACUCCCCUUCCUCUAGUUCCAAAUUUAUUUUUCCCAAUCUCCUCCGAAAUUGGUUGGGAUUGCCAAGUUCUAAAAAAGGAGGGGAUGGAGGGGCAGGGUCCCGCUUAUUAUGUUAUGUAUUCUCUAUUUCCCUUCUCUGGGUCGGCGAUAAUGAUUGUUACGUGGUGGGGUAUCUGUUAAUUUAUUCUUAUAUGCAUUAGAUAACCUAUGGUCGUCCAUUUUUUGUUUACCAUUAUAUCCUGUUUGGGAUCUGGAUGUUCUUGAGUUAUACUGGGAGCUAUCAUGGUUAACUCGUUGACGAUAGUGAGAAUGGUCAUAAUGAUCUCUUUGACAAGAGUGAGUAGGGUUAUAGUAGGAUGUGCCCCUAUUAUACGAAUUGAUGGCACCAUUAUAGUAUCUCUUAGGGUAUGUAGAGAUAUCUUCUCUAUUUUUAUUUUUGCUUGAGAAGGUUCUGACUUGGUUGGUAGCAUAAUCAUGUUUAUCUCCGAAAGAAAAUCUGAAAGAUUGUCUGUAUCAUGAAAUGCUGCCUUCAUGAAUCAGUCCAAUCCCUGUCAUAGAGCAAUAAUGGGUAAAAUAAUAUCUGACCGAUAUUGAUUCUAUUCCUGGCUGUGUUUACAGUGAAUAAUGUAUUUAUAUAGUAUAGGAACAUGCAUUGGAUGGCUUAUUAAAUUGCAGAUUCUAAAGACUAUAAAAAACAUAAGGCAAUAGAGUAUUUAACUAUGUGCAUUUUGGGGAUUAAACAAUAAUUAGACAUAUAGCAUUUCUAUGGUGUAAAGUUGUAUGAUUGUUAAAUAAUAAAUAAACAGUGUCUAAAU